rnacentral:tRNA from 1 species
GCCAGAGUGGCGGAAUUGGCAGACGCGCUGGAUUCAAAAUCCAGUGACCGCAAGGUCGUCCCGGUUCAAGUCCGGGCUCUGGUA